UGGGGAAUUUUGGACAAUGGGGGAAACCCUGAUCCAGCCAUCCCGCGUGUGCGAUGAAGGCCUUCGGGUUGUGAAGCACUUUUGGCAGGAAAGAAACGUCAUGGGUUAAUACCCCGUGAAACUGACGGUACCUGCAGAAUAAGCACCGGCUAACUACGUGCCAGCAGCCGCGGUAAUACGUAGGGUGCAAGCGUUAAUCGGAAUUACUGGGCGUAAAGCGUGCGCAGGCGGUUCGGAAAGAAAGAUGUGAAAUCCCAGAGCUCAACUUUGGAACUGCAUUUUUAACUACCGGGCUAGAGUGUGUCAGAGGGAGGUGGAAUUCCGCGUGUAGCAGUGAAAUGCGUAGAUAUGCGGAGGAACACCGAUGGCGAAGGCAGCCUCCUGGGAUAACACUGACGAUCAUGCACGAAAGCGUGGGGAGCAAACAGG
rnacentral:rRNA from 1 species